ACAUCCAUUAUUACGGUCCUCCGUAAAACACGUGUGUAUGUAAGCAAAACGCUACUAUUUUCUGAUUUGUGCUGCUUUAUUGAACUUAUACGGUUAUAGAUUUGUUGAGGAUACUGAUGGAAAUUCAAACAGACAGUGUUGAACUCAUGAAGAGUAAUACAAACAUGGAUGUCAAAGGCGGUUGACAUGGUAAACUGAUAUUUACCCUUAAAUAUGGUAGUUACUGCAGUGCUGCUUUAUUAUUUUUUACUGUGAAACCUCUAUAAAAUAACAUGACAUUGCUUUUGAAAGAGUCGAAAGUCCGAUUAUGCUCUCGAGGCCCUUGAGAACUGUGAGGUUCCAGUUGGCUGUCUGAUGGUUUACAACAAUGGAAAUUUCUAUUGGAAAAGGAAGAAAUGAGGUCAAUAAAACAAAAAAUUAGAACACAGAGAAACUUUGGAAUAGAUGAAACGACCUCACGUCUGAGCCUGCUUUGCUCAAGGCUACUCGGCAUGCAGAAAUAGUGGCACUGGAUCAAGUGCUUGAUUGGUGCUGUUUCAGAGAGAAGGACCCAAUAGAGGUGUGUGAACAGACUGUACUGUGUGACCGUGGAGCUAUGUAUCAUGUGUGCAGCUGCUCUGCGCCUGGUUCACAUACCUCUUGUUGUAUAUGGGUGCAAAAAUGAGCGGUUUGGAGGCUGUGGAUCCAUCCUGGACGUCUCAUCAGAUCAUUUACCACAUACUGGAACUUCAUAUAAGUGCAUCGCUGGCUAUAGAGCAGAAGAGGCUGUUGAAAUACUAAAGACUUUUUAUAAACAGGAAAACCCAAAUGCUCCCAAACCUAAAGUGAGGUAAGAUUUGAUCAGUCCACCAGAUGGCGCUGUAGUCAUUCAGGUAAAACCAGGAUGACAAAAUUAGGGAAGAGAAACUUUGACACUCGUUUUGAGCUGAAAUGGAAAAUAUUUGAACAUUCAGACAUUUAUAAGACAUUGUGAUUUUUGAUUUUGCCAUCUCUUUGAGAUCACUGAUUUAAUCUACUAUUUGAGGAACCACGUUUGCUCAUUAUCUGGAUCACAUUGCUUGUAAACCUCCAGGCCUCCUCUUCUCUGUGGCUGGACACUGUUGUCUGUUAAAAGCGUGUAGAAGCAAAAGACUGGGCCUGUUCUGCAUUAAAGCAAAGGUUCUUCUCCAGCUCUCGCUCUCUCUGUGUCCUUAUACAACCCAGAGAACUGCUUCUGAACUCUCAAUGAUCUCAGUCUUGGGCUCAGUAGCAGAUGCAGGACAGACCCAGGAUUUAGAGUUUUCACUACUCCAUAGCCAGAAACUUUAAAGGGAUCAUUAAAAAUGAAUUUGUAUCAUUAUUUUCUAACUCUCCUUGGUUGUUUUCUUUAAUGGGACACAAAAGGUGAAUUUUAUAAAGAGUUUUUCAA